UUCGGCAGGUGAGUUGUUACA
rnacentral:siRNA from 1 species